rnacentral:ribozyme from 1 species
GCCAGGCGAGGUUGACACCCCCCCGGCCACUGCUGCACCAUGGGGUUUCGUUGGACUCCAACCACGUUGGCUUCUCUCGCCGCUACCUUCAGCGC